rnacentral:rRNA from 1 species
AUGUUUAUCCCUGAUGUCUGGAAAUUGAGAGUUCCCCCUAAAAUUCAUGUAUUUCUCUGGCUUCUCUCCAAAAACAAAUUGAUUACUAGGGAUAACCUUAGGAAGAGACACAUCAUCAAACCCCUUGAUUGUGUUUACUGCUUAGAACAAGAGUCUUGUUCUCACCUAUUUUUUGAAUGUAUAGUUGCUAAACAUCUCUAGGCCCACAAUGAGGAAUAUUUCUCUAGUCAGAUUGGCUCAUCCUUCGAAUCUGUCGCCAGAUUCUGGAUUGCUACCAAAAAGUGCUCAGUUUUAAACAUUGUUAGCUCAGCUGUCCUUUGGUGCCUCUGGAAAUAUAGAAAAGCUAUGAUUUUCAGUAACACCUCCUGGAUUUCCAUUCCUCAGGUCUUGAGGUUGAUCAGGAACAUGGUGAGGAACUGGUCGAUUCUCUCCUCCGAAUCGGACAAGGACAAGUUGAUGAGCUUCGUGGAAACCCUAACAAGAUCCCUCCAGAAACCGUUGGCGAUCACUUGUGGCUGA